ensembl:misc_RNA Metazoa_SRP Metazoan signal recognition particle RNA
GCUGGGUGUGGUGGCACACACCUGUAAUUCCAGCUACUUGGGAAGCUGAGGCAGGAGAAUCGCUUGAACCCAGGAGCUGGAGGUUGCAGUGAGCUGAGAUUGCACCACUGCACUCCAGCCUGGGUGACAGAGUGAGACCCUGUCUCCA